rnacentral:rRNA from 1 species
UAUCGUACAAAAUGUGAGAGGGGUGCAUGCUUGGGCUGUUGCUGGCUCAUAGUAGCCGUGCACGCCUGGGUGUGUCCCCUCGCACAACAAUCCAUCUCACCCUUUUGUGCAUCACCGCGUGGGCUCCCUUCUCGGAGGGGGCUCGCGUUUUCACACAAACCCCCCUUUUAAAAGUGUAGAAUGACCUCAUGUAUGCGUUAACCCGCAAUCAAUACAACUUUCAACAACGGAUCUCUUGGCUCUCGCAUCGAUGAAGAACGCAGCGAAAUGCGAUACGUAAUGUGAAUUGCAGAAUUCAGUGAAUCAUCGAAUCUUUGAACGCACCUUGCGCCCCUUGGUAUUCCGAGGGGCACACCCGUUUGAGUGUCGUGAAAACCUCAACCUCCUUGGUUUCUUCUGGAGACCAAAGCAGGCUUGGACUUUGGAGGCCUUUGCUGGCACCUCUCUUUUCUGAAGGCCAGCUCCUCUUAAACAAAUUAGCAGGGUCCUCUUUGCUGAUCCUCGACGUGUGAUAAGAUGUUUCCAUGUCUUGGUUUCUGGCUCUGUCACCUUUGGGACCUGCUUCUAACUGUCCGGACCUUGCGUCGAGACAACGUUCGAGCAUGUGCCU